UGAAAAACACACCCCCACCAAACCCCAAAACCCCAAAUCCUCAGCCAAAAUCUUCAAACCCUAACCCCCAAUUCCCACCUAACCACCUGCCGCCGGGGUCCUGCCGACGCGAACUCGACUAUUAUUUUUCAAAUUUCCAAUCUUCAAUUGCAGGAGAAGAAGAUGAGUGACAGCCUUUGCGUAUCCUUCUCACUGUGUUAUUUGGUUCCUCUCUUUUAAAUGCGCUACUUUUCCUUUUCUUUCGCUUCUAUUGUGUUAACUUUUUUUUUUCUUUUUGGUAAAGAGGAGGACUUCUAUGGUGUUAACUUUGUGGCAUUGAAUCACAGUAGAAUGAAUUUCAACUUGAUGGUAUUGAAUGAAUAUGAUUUUGCUUCAAGAACUACUAAUUGUUGAUCGGCUUGAAAUUCUUACAUUAUGCUUCUUCAAAUAGGCCAAAUAGGUCAACCAAAUUUCUUACAGUGUGAAAGCCUUUAUUAUAUUGUGCAUUGAUCCGACUAGAUUCCGACAUUUCACAUUUUGCAUUCGCAGUCUAAUUUGUGUUUUUCUAGUCUGUAGUUUUUAUUGGAUAUAACUUAUUUCGUUCAUUGUUUGCACAACUUGAUGCUUGAUGAGAAUUCACUAAACUAUUCUUUUAUCUUGCAGUUUGGGGUGCAUCAAGCAUGCAACCAUGCGUUCCAUCGUCAUUGCAUCAUAAAAUGUGUAAAUUCAGAGACUUCUCAGUCACAUUGCCCCAUAGCAGGGAGUCGCAAUUCAAAGGAUGAGAGAAAAACUAGAAUCACAUUUAGGAAACUUGUUUGCUCUCUCCCUCUUCAAGUGCAGUGGUUGCCAAUGCAUGCUUGCAAUUGUUUGAUUGUAUAUGGUUUAUAUAUCCCUUGUCUGUCUGUUGUGUUUUGGUUGAUGUAAACUGUGAAGUAGCUCAAAGUUUCACUUUUUAAUGAUUUAUUGUAUUCUCUAUAAACCAAUUGUUUGUUUAUUCGGUUUGAUAGGGAUCUCAGUGAUAAUAAUAAUAAAAAAUUACCGGUAGUGCUUUUAAGAUGUGGUA